GUGCGAGCGUUGUUCGGAAUCACUGGGCGUAAAGGGCGUGUAGGCGGUCCGCUAAGUCUGAUGUGAAAGCCCGGGGCUCACCCCCGGAAGGGCAUUGGAAACUGGCGGACUCGAGUCCCGGAGAGGAAGGUGGAAUUCCUGGUGUAGCGGUGAAAUGCGUAGAUAUCAGGAGGAAUACCGGUGGCGAAGGCGGCCUUCUGGACGGUGACUGACGCUGAGACGCGAAAGCGUGGGGAGCAAACAGG
rnacentral:rRNA from 1 species